UGUGAGAACUUGCAACACAGAUG
rnacentral:piRNA from 1 species